GUAACGCCGUUAGUUCGCCGUGUGUUUCGUGCGAUCUACCAGUGUCGACAGUGAGUGUCUUACUACAGCGCCCGUCCGAGAGCUGCCUUUGUUCUGCCCACGCUCCCGUGAAAAGUCUGGUACUGGAGCUUCGAAUCGUAGUGUAUGGAAGGCUGUUGAAGGUUGUGCUUUUGUGGAGCUGGAGUUCAUCGGAAGUUCUACAGUGCUUGCGCCAGAAAGACGUCGGUGCCUCGGUACCUUUGAGACGAAGGAGCGUUGGCCAAGUCUUUUUGAAAGGCUAUGCGGAUUCUGGAGGCAUCCCUACAUCGAGCAGGAACCUGCUGCACUGCUGGAAGCUGGACAGCACGACAAUAAAGCACGUGAUCUGUGUGCUUUCUCAAAGGUGGCAAACUAUCGACGCCCUCGCGAAAACGCCCACAAAAUGUGGAGAAAAGAAGAAGCAGCACGAAGAAGGACACAUGUGCGCUGAGGUCGUGUGCACGAUUUCUUUCACCACAACGAGAUACCGACGAUCGAGAUCUCACUAACGAGUUCUCGAAGCGUAUAUUGUGUUAUGUUUGUGCCCUGGGAUUUGCCUGACGGAAGGCCAGUGCUAUGGUUUGUCGACUGUGGAGGCAGCAUUC